AAUGACGGUACCCUGUGAGGAAGCCCCGGCUAACUACGUGCCAGCAGCCGCGGUAAUACGUAGGGGGCUAGCGUUAUCCGGAUUUACUGGGCGUAAAGGGUGCGUAGGUGGUCCUUCAAGUCGGUGGUUAAAGGCUACGGCUCAACCGUAGUAAGCCGCCGAAACUGGAGGACUUGAGUGCAGGAGAGGAAAGUGGAAUUCCCAGUGUAGCGGUGAAAUGCGUAGAUAUUGGGAGGAACACCAGUAGCGAAGGCGGCUUUCUGGACUGCAACUGACACUGAGGCACGAAAGCGUGGGUAGCAAACAGGAUUAGAUACCCUGGUAGUCCACGCUGUAAACGAUGAGUACUAGGUGUCGGGGGUUACCCCCCUCGGUGCCGCAGCUAACGCAUUAAGUACUCCGCCUGGGGAGUACGCACGCAAGUGUGAAACUCAAAGAUGACGGGGACCCGCACAAGUAGCGACUUGUUAUCAGCAC
rnacentral:rRNA from 1 species